rnacentral:rRNA from 1 species
UACGAAGGGGGCUAGCGUUGCUCGGAAUGACUGGGCGUAAAGGGCGCGUAGGCGGCUUGUAUAGUCGGAUGUGAAAUUCCUGGGCUUAACCUGGGGGCUGCAUACGAGACGUAUGGGCUUGAGUCCGGAAGAGGAGACUGGAAUUUACGGUGUAGCGGUGAAAUGCGUAGAUAUCGUAAGGAAGACCAGUGGCGAAGGCGGGUCUCUGGACAGUUCCGUGACGCUGAGGCACGAAGGUCAGGGGAGGCAAACGGG